rnacentral:rRNA from 1 species
GGCAGCUACACAUGCAAGUCGAGCGGUAGCACAGAGAGCUUGCUCUCGGGUGACGAGCGGCGGACGGGUGAGUAAUGUCUGGGAAACUGCCUGAUGGAGGGGGAUAACUACUGGAAACGGUAGCUAAUACCGCAUAACGUCGCAAGACCAAAGUGGGGGACCUUCGGGCCUCAUGCCAUCAGAUGUGCCCAGAUGGGAUUAGCUAGUAGGUGGGGUAACGGCUCACCUAGGCGACGAUCCCUAGCUGGUCUGAGAGGAUGACCAGCCACACUGGAACUGAGACACGGUCCAGACUCCUACGGGAGGCAGCAGUGGGGAAUAUUGCACAAUGGGCGCAAGCCUGAUGCAGCCAUGCCGCGUGUGUGAAGAAGGCCUUCGGGUUGUAAAGCACUUUCAGCGGGGAGGAAGGCGUUGAGGUUAAUAACCUUGUCGAUUGACGUUACCCGCAGAAGAAGCACCGGCUAACUCCGUGCCAGCAGCCGCGGUAAUACGGAGGGUGCAAGCGUUAAUCGGAAUUACUGGGCGUAAAGCGCACGCAGGCGGUCUGUCAAGUCGGAUGUGAAAUCCCCGGGCUCAACCUGGGAACUGCAUUCGAAACUGGCAGGCUAGAGUCUUGUAGAGGGGGGUAGAAUUCCAGGUGUAGCGGUGAAAUGCGUAGAGAUCUGGAGGAAUACCGGUGGCGAAGGCGGCCCCCUGGACAAAGACUGACGCUCAGGUGCGAAAGCGUGGGGAGCAAACAGGAUUAGAUACCCUGGUAGUCCACGCCGUAAACGAUGUCGAUUUGGAGGUUGUGCCCUUGAGGCGUGGCUUCCGGAGCUAACGCGUUAAAUCGACCGCCUGGGGAGUACGGCCGCAAGGUUAAAACUCAAAUGAAUUGACGGGGGCCCGCACAAGCGGUGGAGCAUGUGGUUUAAUUCGAUGCAACGCGAAGAACCUUACCUGGUCUUGACAUCCACAGAACUUUCCAGAGAUGGAUUGGUGCCUUCGGGAACUGUGAGACAGGUGCUGCAUGGCUGUCGUCAGCUCGUGUUGUGAAAUGUUGGGUUAAGUCCCGCAACGAGCGCAACCCUUAUCCUUUGUUGCCAGCGGUUCGGCCGGGAACUCAAAGGAGACUGCCAGUGAUAAACUGGAGGAAGGUGGGGAUGACGUCAAGUCAUCAUGGCCCUUACGACCAGGGCUACACACGUGCUACAAUGGCAUAUACAAAGAGAAGCGACCUCGCGAGAGCAAGCGGACCUCAUAAAGUAUGUCGUAGUCCGGAUUGGAGUCUGCAACUCGACUCCAUGAAGUCGGAAUCGCUAGUAAUCGUAGAUCAGAAUGCUACGGUGAAUACGUUCCCGGGCCUUGUACACACCGCCCGUCACACCAUGGGAGUGGGUUGCAAAAGAAGUAGGUAGCUUAACCUUCGGGAGGGCGCUACCA